AGUGAACGCUGGCGGCGUGCCUAAUACAUGCAAGUCGAACGGAGAUUCAGUAGCUUGCUAUUUAUUCUUAGUGGCGCACGGGUGAGUAAUAUAUAGAUAACUUGCCCAUUACUAAGGGACAACAGUUGGAAACGACUGCUAAUACCUUAUACCACGUAUCUAUCUAAGUAGAUACGGGAAAGUUUUGCGGUGAUGGAUAGGGCUAUAACGUAUCAGCUAGUUGGUAAGGUAAUGGCUGACCAAGGCUAUGACGCGCAACUGGUCUGCGAGGAUGAUCAGUCACACUGGAAGGGAGGCACGGUCCGGGCACCUACGGGAGGCGGCGGUAGGGAAUAUUGCUCAAUGGGGGUAAGCCUGAAGCAGCAACGCCGCGUGGAGGAUGACACUUGGCGGAGCGUAGACUCCGUUUCUUGGGAAAGAGUUAUGACGGUACCCAAGGAAUAAGCACCGGCUAACUCCGUG
rnacentral:rRNA from 1 species